GGGGUCUGGUGGGGGGGAAGGGGGUGAAUGUGCUCAGCUCUGACCACCAGGGCUAAAUAGUAGAGUAGAGUAGAGUAGAGUAGAGUAGAGUAGAGUAGAGUAGAGUAGAGCUACAGUAGAGUACAGUACAGUACAGUACAGUAGAGUAGAGUAGAGUAGAGUACACUACAGUAGAGUAGAGUAGAGUAGAGUACAGCUAGAGUAGAGUAGAGUACAGCUACAGUAGAGUAGAGCUACAGUAAAGUACAGUAGAGUACAGUAGGGUACAGUAGAGUACAGUAGAGUAGAGUAGAGUACAGUAGAGUAGAGUACAGUAGAGUACAGUAGAGUAUAGUAGAGUAGAGCAGAGUAGAGUACAGUAGAGUAGAGUACAGUAGACUAGAGUAGAGUAGAGUAGAGCAGAGUAGAGUACAGUAGAGUAGAGUACAGUAGAGUACAGUACAGUACAGUAGAGCAGAGUACAGUAGAGUACAGCUACAGUAGAGUACAAGCAGAGUAGAGUACAGUAGAGUACAGCUACAGUAGAGUACAGUAGAGUAGAGUACAGCUACAGUAGAGUAGAG
ensembl:lncRNA